ACUCUUCUCAUUCUAUGCUUGUAUAAUCCUUGCCAGAAGAGAAUCUGCUUCAAAAUUUUGUCAUGAAGAAUAACAGUAAUAACUGCCUAUGAAAACUCAGCUGUACAUAAUGCCUGAAACACGUGCUGGGGACUGAAUGCUGCCCUCCAAUAGGAUGGAGACUGAAUGCUGCCCACCAGCAGGACAGUGCCUCCAUGGAUGUGACCAUGGCAGAGAAAAACCCAGUGAGGCUCCAGAUCUGAGCCUGUCUCCCUAGGAAAAGCAAACCCAGGAUCUGGGUAUCCUGCCUGCUCAUUUUCCCUGAAUGAAGAUGAACUCUUCCCCAACCCUUAU
rnacentral:lncRNA from 1 species